GACGAACGCUGGCGGCGUGCUUAACACAUGCAAGUCGAACGGAAAGGCCCUGCUUUUGUGGGGUGCUCGAGUGGCGAACGGGUGAGUAACACGUGAGUAACCUGCCCUUGACUUUGGGAUAACUUCAGGCAACUGGGGCUAAUACCGGAUAGGAGCUCCUGCUGCAUGGUGGGGGUUGGAAAGUUUCGGCGGUUGGGGAUGGACUCGCGGCUUAUCAGCUUGUUGGUGGGGUAGUGGCUUACCAAGGCUUUGACGGGUAGCCGGCCUGAGAGGGUGACCGGCCACAUUGGGACUGAGAUGCGGCCCAGACUCCUACGGGAGGCAGCAGUGGGGAAUAUUGCACAAUGGGCGGAAGCCUGAUGCAGCACCGCCGCGUGCGGGAUGACGGCAUUCGGGUUGUAAACCGCUUUCGCCUGUGACGAAGCGUGAGUGACGGUAAUGGGUAAAGAAGCCCCGGCUAACUACGUG
rnacentral:rRNA from 1 species